UACCAAUUUAAGGAAGAUGCCUUAGAGAUAGGCAGAGGUGAUGCUGUGUAAUCUCCUCAAAUAUCUCCAAAUGCUGUUAGGGGGCAGCUUGGCUCUGCUGUGGGGCGCCAUGGGAGGCAGCAGGCUUAACAAGGGCAGCGGCUUCUCCUUGGCAAAGUCCACAGGCUGCACACGUGGAAGCAUGCAGAGCCCAUGUAGUGAUGGCCACUGGUGUCCUGCUGACUGCAAGCAGCUGGGAUGCUGGCUGGGAAGCCCAGGGAACCAGGGGGCACGUGAAGAACAAAAUGUUUUCCUCUGUGGAUUCCCUACUUCUUCUUGCCAAGUGUGUGCAAGCACAUCUGCAGCUGCAAGAUCUUGCAUCAAGAGGCUUCAAGGCCGGUGCUUUCACAGCAGUGCUGUUUGCUCAAAGCAAAGGAAGUCCCAGGGAGAACAAGAGGGACACAGGCAGGGCUUGUUUGUGGCCUCCAACGCUCAGAGCCCCUUGGCUUCUCCACAGCCGCCUGAUGCAUGAGCCCAUGCUGAACCAUCCAUGACCUUCUGAGCUACAUCCUCAUGGGGAGGAUCACCAUAAACACAUCCCUCUACAAAUGUGUUUCCGAGGCACCUGCGGAGGCUCACCCUGGCUGUCCUUGGGCUGAUCAGGCCCCUUGGAGGAAUCAUGCCCGUGAUCGAGAGGUAUGCACACUGGGUGACCCAUGCCUUCAAGGGCAGGAGAGAUAAUGUGAGUUCUCCCCUUUACCAAGGCGUGUUUCAGGCUGCGCACAUCUUGUCUCUCUCAAAUAUUUCAGAGCACAGAGAUGAAUAUGGAAACCUAGGUGCAUAUAGGUCUGAAUCGUCUGGAAGGAACCCUGGUGGAUCCAUCGGGGCAGGACUCGGUGCUUCUUACGGGAGGGGUGGUUUGUCCUCCACGACCACCAGAGGAGAGGGAAAGGUGGAGGCAAAUUUGUCCCAAUGUGCAGGGCUGGGCUCUGGCAGGAUGGGUGCUGCUGGGCUAAAUACAAGCAAUGAGGCUUUCCUGUCCUCCUGGGGAAGGGCUUCCCACAUUUUUUUUACUCCAGAAUGAGUUCACAUGUCCCUUCAGAAGUUAAACCCCUCAAGGUGCUUUCCUCUGUUCCCUAGGCUUGUGUCAGUUGCCCCCACAGCCUGUCACAGAGAAGGAAGAAAGUGAGAAGAAAUAAAGUGCAAUGGUAAGCCAGUCCCCAGCAGCACAUGCGGCUCCCCAUGUUUAUAGCAGAGGCUAGAAACCAAAAAUACCUGAUCUAGCCAUUGUUUUAUUCACUUAUUUAUGCAUUGAGCCAAUGUAACCUUUGAUUUGAUGCUGAUAUUUUGCGUGUUGGUACUGGGGAGAAAUUAAUUCAGGGAGCUCUAGACUAAAGUUUGCCUGAGGA